AUUGAACGCUGGCGGCAGGCCUAACACAUGCAAGUCGAGCGAGCGGCGGACGGGUGAGUAAUGUAUGGGGAUCUGCCCGCUAGAGGGGGAUAACUACUGGAAACGGUGGCUAAUACCGAAUACCAGCGGAGGAACCCAGCUCGGAUUAGCUAGUAGGUGGGGUAAAGGCUCACAUAGGCGACGACCUCUAGCUGGUCUGAGAGGAUGAUCUGCCACACUGGGACUGAGCAACGGCCCAGACUCCUGCGGGAGGCAGCAGUGGGGGAUAUUGCGCGAUGGGCGCAGGCCUGAUGCAGCCCUGCCGCGUGUAGGAAGAAGGCCUGAGGGUUGUAAAGUACUUUCAGCGGGGAGGCGUUCCCCGCAGCAGAGGCACCGGCUAACUCCGUGCCAGCCGCCGCGGUAAUUC
rnacentral:rRNA from 1 species